UGCUACAGUAGGUUGUCGCCUGGAGUUC
rnacentral:sRNA from 1 species